rnacentral:rRNA from 1 species
CCUUACCUGGUCUUGACAUCCUGCGAACUUUCUAGAGAUAGAUUGGUGCCUUCGGGGACGCAGUGACAGGUGCUGCAUGGCUGUCGUCAGCUCGUGUCGUGAGAUGUUCGGUUAAGUCCGGCAACGAGCGCAACCCACAUCCUUAGUUACCAGCGGUUCGGCCGGGAACUCUAAGGAAACUGCCCGUGAUAAGCGGGAGGAAGGUGUGGAUGACGUCAAGUCCUCAUGGCCCUUACGGGUUGGGCUACACACGUGCUACAAUGGCAGUGACAAUGGGUUAAUCCCAAAAAACUGUCUCAGUUCGGAUUGUCGUCUGCAACUCGACGGCAUGAAGUCGGAAUCGCUAGUAAUCGCGUAACAGCAUGACGCGGUGAAUACGUUCCCGGGUCUGUACACACCG